GAUGAACGCUAGCUACAGGCUUAACACAUGCAAGUCGAGGGACCGGCGUACGGGUGAGUAACGCGUAUCCAACCUUCCCAUUACUGUGGGAUAACCUGCCGAAAGGCAGACUAAUACCGCAUAGUAAUGGAUGGGGAUGCGUCGGAUUAGCUUGUUGGCGGGGUAACGGCCCACCAAGGCGACGAUCAGUAGGGGUUCUGAGAGGGAGUUACCUGGAAUUUGAUCGGAGACGCGGGCCAAACUACGACCGGAGGUAGCAGUGACGAUUAUUGUGCAGUGGACGGUAGUCGUAACCAGCCAAGUAGCGUGCAGGAUGACGGCCUAUGGGUUGGAAAAUGCUUUUGUAUGGAGGUAGGUACCAUAGGGAUAAGGACCGGCUAAUUCCGUGCCAGCAGCCGCGGUAAUAC
rnacentral:rRNA from 1 species